rnacentral:rRNA from 1 species
CUCCUGGAAACGGGUGGGCCGGAGCUCAGUUGACUGAAUGGUCUUCUGGGAAAGCUUUCGCGGUAUGGGAUGGGGUCGCGUCCUAUCAGCUUGACGGCGGGGUAACGGCCCACCGUGGCUUCGACGGGUAGCCGGCCUGAGAGGGCGACCGGCCACAUUGGGACUGAGAUACGGCCCAGACUCCUACGGGAGGCAGCAGUGGGGAAUAUUGCACAAUGGGCGCAAGCCUGAUGCAGCGACGCCGCGUGAGGGAUGGAGGCCUUCGGGUUGUAAACCUCUUUUAUCGGGGAGCAAGCGAGAGUGAGUUUACCCGUUGAAUAAGCACCGGCUAACUACGUGCCAGCAGCCGCGGUAAUACGUAGGGUGCAAGCGUUAUCCGGAAUUAUUGGGCGUAAAGGGCUCGUAGGCGGUUCGUCGCGUCCGGUGUGAAAGUCCAUCGCUUAACGGUGGAUCCGCGCCGGGUACGGGCGGGCUUGAGUGCGGUAGGGGAGACUGGAAUUCCCGGUGUAACGGUGGAAUGUGUAGAUAUCGAGCCUGUAGAUAUCGGGAAGAACACC